rnacentral:ncRNA from 2 species
UACUUUCAGUAGGGGUGCGCGCGAGCGCUGAGACCGGCAUUGCCGGAACCCUUCAAACCUGAUCCAGUUCGUACUGGCGGAGGGAACUGAGCUCGGUCUGGA